UUCUCGAUUCAGUGGUUGGUGGUGCAUGGCCGUUCUUAGUUCGUGGAGCGAUCUGUCUGGUUAAUUCCGAUAACGAACGAGACUCUUGCCUGCUAAAUAGACGGCGUCGACAUAGUGCGGCGGCCGUUCGCUUCUUAGAGGGACAAGCGGCUUUUAGCCGCGUGAAGCUGAGAGCAAUAACAGGUCAGUGAUGCCCUCAGAUGUUCGGGGCCGCACGCGCGCUACACUGUUUGCAUCAGCGUGUUUCUCCCGCGCCGACUGGCGCGGGCAACCCGUUGAACCGCAAACGUGCUAGGGAUCGGAGCUUGCAAUUGUUCUCCGUGAACGAGGAAUUCCUUGUACUGGCGAGUCAUCAGCUCGCGGGGAAUCUGUCCCUGCCCUUUGUACACACCGCCCGUCGCUACUACCGAUUGAGUGGUUUAGUGAGGCUCACGGACUGCGAGCGACACACGGCGCUUUCGGGCGUCGCGUCGCGAGCGGAAAGUGAGACGAACUUGAUCACUUCUAGGAAGUAAAA
rnacentral:rRNA from 1 species